CCCCCUCACGAGACAGCAUUAUUGUGAUUAGAGCAUGCUUAAGGGGAUGGAUGCGGCGUGUAGAAAUGAUUUUAGUUUCACAUGCAGCUUCCUGUCGAGGGCAGGAGAAGGAGGAAGGGGAAGGUUACAUGGUCUAUUGAGAGAUCUAAAGGUUUCUAGGAUUGAGGUGGGUUGAGAGUUGUGUGUGUAAGUGUUGUAUGUUUAAUAACUGUAAGUGUGUAUGUAGAUGAGGUUAGAAGCAUCUGAAGAGGAGGAGUAGGAGGCCUGUGUGAAGAGGCCCACUUAUGAGGAGUAUAAUGGUUUGAGGCAGACAAGAGAAGGUCACAAGAGACAAUAUGGACUGUAUACUGUAGGGGUGCGUGCGUCCGUGCGUGUGUGUGUGUGUGUCUGUUGACAGUAAGUGCACAUGUGCGUGAGUGUGUUUAUGUUUUUGUACUUCUGUGUGUGUGAUUUUAGUUUUUCAGGGAGUAUCAGUCAGCAAAGUUUUAGAGGACUUUUGUCUCUGUGUGUGUGUGUGUGUGUGUGUGAGAGAAGCAACUACAAUACAAGCGGGUCAAUAAGUGCACCUAAUAAGUUAGUCAAUUAGUUGUAAUACUGGAUCUGUGGUUCAAUGUUCUGAACAG